ACGGAGGGUGCGAGCGUUAUUCGGAUUUACUGGGCGUAAAGCGCGCGCAGGCGGUUUGGCAAGUCUGAUGUGAAAGCCUCGGGCUUAACCUGGGAAGUGCCAUGGAAACUGCAGGACUUGAGUACUGGAGAGGAAGGGGGAAUUCCCGGUGUAGAGGUGAAAUUCGUAGAGAUCGCGAAGAAUACCAAUUGCGAAGGCACCCUACUGGACGUUUACUGACGCUGAGACGCGAAAGCGUGGGGAGCAAACAG
rnacentral:rRNA from 1 species